rnacentral:rRNA from 1 species
CCUGGUUGAUCCUGCCAGUAAUCAUAUGCUUGUCUCAAAGAUUAAGCCAUGCAUGUCUAAGUACAUGCCGAAAUAAGGCGAAACCGCGAAUGGCUCAUUAAAUCAGUUAUGGUUCCUUAGAUCGUUUCUUCCUACUUGGAUAACUGUGGCAAUUCUAGAGCAAAUACAUGCAGUGAGCCUGGAGCCCUUUGGGUAACGGGUGCUUUUAUUAGACCAAGAUCGAUCGGGUUUCGGCCCGUAUUGUGUGGUGACUCUGGAUAACUUUGUGCUGAUCGCAUGGCCACGAGCCGGCGACGUUUCUUUCAAGUGUCUGCCUUAUCAACUUUCGAUGGUAGGUUACUUGCUUACCAUGGUUGUUACGGGUAACGGAGAAUCAGGGUUCGAUUCCGGAGAGGGAGCCUGAGAAACGGCUACCACAUCCAAGGAAGGCAGCAGGCGCGCAAAUUACCCACUCCCGGCACGGGGAGGUAGUGACGAAAAAUAACAAUACGGGACUCUUUUGAGGCCCCGUAAUUGAAAUGAGUACACUCUAAAUCCUUUAACGAGGAUCAAUUGGAGGGCAAGUCUGGUGCCAGCAGCCGCGGUAAUUCCAGCUCCAAUAGCGUAUACUAAAGCUGCUGCGGUUAAAAAGCUCGUAGUUGGAUCUCAGUUCCAGACGAGUAGUGCAUCUACCCGAUGCGACGGCUCGGACUGAACAUCAUGCCGGUUCUUUCUUGGUGCACUUCAUUGUGUGCCUCGAGAUGGCCGGUGCUUUUACUUUGAAAAAAUUAGAGUGCUCAACGCAGGCGAGUCGCCUGAAUAAACUUGCAUGGAAUAAUAGAAAAAGACCUCGUUUCUGUUCUGUUGGUUUUUGGAAUACGAGGUAAUGAUUAAGAGGGACGGACGGGGGCAUUCGUAUUGCGGCGCUAGAGGUGAAAUUCUUGGACCGUCGCAAGACGAACUACUGCGAAAGCAUUUGCCAAGAAUGUUUUCAUUGAUCAAGAACGAAAGUCAGAGGUUCGAAGGCGAUCAGAUACCGCCCUAGUCUGACCAUAAACGAUGCCAACCAGCGAUC